rnacentral:rRNA from 1 species
GAUGAACGCUAGCUACAGGCUUAACACAUGCAAGUCGAGGGGUAACGAGAGGAAAGCUUGCUUUCCUUGUCGACGACCGGCGCACGGGUGAGUAACGCGUAUCCAACCUGCCCCCAACUAAGGAAUAACCUUGCGAAAGUAAGACUAAUACCUUAUAAUUUCCUCAGAUGUCAUCUGACGAGGAAUAAAGAUUUAUCGGUUGUGGAUGGGGAUGCGUCUGAUUAGCUUGUUGGCGGGGUAACGGCCCACCAAGGCAACGAUCAGUAGGGGUUCUGAGAGGAAGGUCCGCCUCAUUGGAACUGAGACACGGUCCAAACUCCUACGGGAGGCAGCAGUGAGGAAUAUUGGACAAUGGGCGAAAGCCUGAACCAGCCAAGUAGCGUGCAGGAUGACGGCCCUAUGGGUUGUAAACUGCUUUUAUACUGGAAUAAAGUUAGCCACGUGUGGUUAUUUGUAGGUACUGUAUGAAUAAGGACCGGCUAAUUCCGUGCCAGCAGCCGCGGUAA